AUAUAUUAUAUAUAAUAUAUAAAAGAAAGUGGUGUUAGUUACACUACUUAUAGCUCAAGAACGGAUGAACCGAUUUCGCUGAAAAUUGGUGGAGAGGUAGCUUAGAACCAGGAAACGGACAUAGGAUACUUUUUAUCCCGUUCGACCGCUGAGUGACAUCAUAUAAAA